GACGAACGCUGGCGGCGUGCUUAACACAUGCAAGUCGAACGGAGUGGCGAACGGGUGAGUAACACGUGGGUGACCUGCCCUGCACUUCGGGAUAAGCCUGGGAAACUGGGUCUAAUACCGGAUAGUGUGGGAUGGGCCCGCGGCCUAUCAGCUUGUUGGUGGGGUAAUGGCCUACCAAGGCGGCGACGGGUAGCCGGCCUGAGAGGGUGGACGGCCACAUUGGGACUUGAACACGGCCCAGGCUCCUACGGGAGGGAGCAGUGGGGAAUAUUGCACAAUGGGCGGAAGCCUGAGGCAGGGACGCCGAGUGGGGGAUGACGGCCUUCGGGUUGUAAACUCCUUUCGCAAUCGAACGGGUAGGUGGAGAAGAAGCGCCGGCUAACUACGUGCCAGCAGCCGCGGUAAUUC
rnacentral:rRNA from 1 species